rnacentral:rRNA from 1 species
AACAAGGUCUCCGUUGGUGAACCAGCGGAGGGAUCAUUACCGAGUUUACAACUCCCAAACCCAAUGUGAACGUUACCAAACUGUUGCCUCGGCGGGAUCUCUGCCCCGGGUGCGUCGCAGCCCCGGACCAAGGCGCCCGCCGGAGGACCAACCAAAACUCUUAUUGUAUACCCCCUCGCGGGUUUUUUUAUAAUCUGAGCCUUCUCGGCGCCUCUCGUAGGCGUUUCGAAAAUGAAUCAAAACUUUCAACAACGGAUCUCUUGGUUCUGGCAUCGAUGAAGAACGCAGCGAAAUGCGAUAAGUAAUGUGAAUUGCAGAAUUCAGUGAAUCAUCGAAUCUUUGAACGCACAUUGCGCCCGCCAGUAUUCUGGCGGGCAUGCCUGUCCGAGCGUCAUUUCAACCCUCGAACCCCUCCGGGGGGUCGGCGUUGGGGAUCGGCCCUGCCUUGGCGGUGGCCGUCUCCGAAAUACAGUGGCGGUCUCGCCGCAGCCUCUCCUGCGCAGUAGUUUGCACACUCGCAUCGGGAGCGCGGCGCGUCCACAGCCGUUAAACACCCAACUUCUGAAAUGUUGACCUCGGAUCAGGUAGGAAUA